rnacentral:rRNA from 1 species
GACGGAGGGUGCAAGCGUUGUUCGGAUUGACUGGGCGUAAAGGGCGUGUAGGCGGUUGGUCAAGUCUGGUGUGAAAGCCCGGGGCUUAACCCCGGAAGUGCGCUGGAAACUAGCCAGCAAGAGCGCGAGAGAGGAGGGUGGAAUUCCUGGUGUAGCGGUGAAAUGCGUAGAUAUCAGGAGGAACACCGGCGGCGAAGGCGGCCCUCUGGCUCGUUGCUGACGCUGAAACGCGAAAGCGUGGGGAGCAAACAGG